rnacentral:rRNA from 1 species
AUUGAACGCUGGCGGCAGGCUUAACACAUGCAAGUCGAGCGGGGUGAUGGUGCUUGCACUAUCACUUAGCGGCGGACGGGUGAGUAAUGCUUAGGAAUCUGCCUAUUAGUGGGGGACAACAUCUCGAAAGGGAUGCUAAUACCGCAUACGUCCUACGGGAGAAAGCAGGGGAUCACUUGUGACCUUGCGCUAAUAGAUGAGCCUAAGUCGGAUUAGCUAGUUGGUGGGGUAAAGGCCUACCAAGGCGACGAUCUGUAGCGGGUCUGAGAGGAUGAUCCGCCACACUGGGACUGAGACACGGCCCAGACUCCUACGGGAGGCAGCAGUGGGGAAUAUUGGACAAUGGGGGGAACCCUGAUCCAGCCAUGCCGCGUGUGUGAAGAAGGCCUUAUGGUUGUAAAGCACUUUAAGCGAGGAGGAGGCUCUUUUGGUUAAUACCCAAGAUGAGUGGACGUUACUCGCAGAAUAAGCACCGGCUAACUACGUGCCAGCCGCCGCAGUAA